GGUUGCAUGGUAUAGUGGUUAGCGUAACUGCUUCACAUGCAGAAGAUCUUGGGUUUGAUCCCCAGUGGAGCCA
rnacentral:tRNA from 1 species